rnacentral:piRNA from 1 species
UGGCUGGAAGUACACCACCUGGUCCCCU